rnacentral:rRNA from 1 species
AGAGUUUGAUCCUGGCUCAGGAUGAACGCUAGCUACAGGCUUAACACAUGCAAGUCGAGCGGAACUACUUCGGUAGUUUAGCGGCAGACGGGUGAGUAACACGUAUCCAACCUUUCCCUCACUCGGGUAUAGCCUCGGGAAACUGAGAGUAAUCCCCGAUGAAGUGUACGAGGAGCAUUUUUUGCACACCAAAGAUUAAUCGGUGAGGGGUGGGGAUGCGUUCCAUUAGCUGGUAGCGGGGCAACGGCCCACCUAGGCGAUGAUGGAUAGGGGUUCUGAGAGGAAGGUCCCCCACACUGGAACUGAGACACGGUCCAGACUCCUACGGGAGGCAGCAGUGAGGAAUAUUGGUCAAUGGGCGCAAGCCUGAACCAGCCAUGCCGCGUGAAGGAAUGAGGCCCUAUGGGUCGUAAACUUCUUUUGUGGUGGAGCAAUAAGGCGUACGUGUACGCCGAUGAGAGUACAUCACGAAUAAGCAUCGGCUAACUCCGUGCC